AAUAGAUACCCAGGUAGUCCACGCUGUAAACGUUGGGCGCUAGGUGUGGGGGGCCUCUCCGGUUCCCUGUGCCGCAGCUAACGCAUUAAGCGCCCCGCCUGGGGAGUACGGCCGCAAGGCUAUAACUCAAAGGAAUUGACGGGGGCCCGCACAAGCGGCGGAGCAUGCGGAUUAAUUCGAUGCAACGCGAAGAACCUUACCUGGGUUUGACAUGGCCGCAAAACUCGCAGAGAUGUGAGGUCCUUCGGGGCGGUCACAGGUGGUGCAUGGCUGUCGUCAGCUCGUGUCGUGAGAUGUUGGGUUAAGUCCCGCAACGAGCGCAACCCUCGUUCGAUGUUGCCAGCGCGUUAUGGCGGGGACUCAUCGAAGACUGCCGGGGUCAACUCGGAGGAAGGUGGGGAUGACGUCAAGUCAUCAUGCCCCUUAUGUCCAGGGCUUCACGCAUGCUACAAUGGCCGGUACAAUGGGCUGCGAUACCGUGAGGUGGAGCGAAUCCCAAAAAGCCGGUCUCAGUUCGGAUCGGGGU
rnacentral:rRNA from 1 species